ACACCUGCAGCUCGUUGGAGGCAGCUUCCUCUGGCUUCUUAAGCAGAGCACUGACAGAUAGAAGAUGCCAGAGCCUUAAACCAGUUGUGGUACGACGUGGCCUCUGACCAAGCUCCUGGAAAUCUGCGCAUGAGUUUUUCUACACUCAGCCUUUGACAAACUUUGAGUCUCCUGUUUUUGUCUUAGUUUUUUGGUGCUGGUAAGCACUCACCUGCCUUGACGCUCCGUCCGAAGAAUCACCUCCAGAAUCACUAGACUCAGGUUUGCUCUUUUGCUCCCCCUCUUGCUCCCUGGAAGUUACCCAGCUGGGUUUGAGGUCUCCCUCCGGAUUCUGGUGGUCCCGCUUCAAGUCUGGUUAAUCCAUCUGUCACUCGACCCAGCGGAGGCUUGCUCCGGAUCCCUUGUCAGCCGCUGCUGCUGCCCUCCAGCCACCAGCCACCUACUCCAUCUAGAGCAGGCUCACAGGGUUCCCCCGGCACUCACUCCUCCCCGGUUAGGACCGCCCGGCUAAUGUCUCCUCCGCUUCGACGUUCAGACCCACCUGCUGCAGUCAUUAUUUCAUCCUUGUUAUUUGCACAUUUCCUAAUAAACUGUUUAAAGCUA